GACGAACGCUGGCGGCGUGCCUAAUACAUGCAAGUCGAGCGGGGUUCCUUCGGGAACCUAGCGGCGAACGGGUGAGUAACACGUGGGCAACCUGCCCUCAAGCCUGGGAUAACUCCGGGAAACCGGUGCUAAUACCAGAUAAUCAUUGCUUCCGCAUGGAAGCUUUGUAAAAGUUUUUCGCUUGAGGAUGGGCCCGCGGUGCAUUAGCUUGUUGGUGGGGUAAUGGCCUACCAAGGCGACGAUGCAUAGCCGACCUGAGAGGGUGACCGGCCACACUGGGACUGAGACACGGCCCAGACUCCUACGGGAGGCAGCAGUAGGGAAUUUUCCGCAAUGGGCGAAAGCCUGACGGAGCAACGCCGCGUGAGUGAUGACGGCCUUCGGGUUGUAAAGCUCUGUUCUUAGGGAAGAAGUUCUGACGGUACCUAAGGAGAAAGCCCCGGCUAACUACGUGCCAGCAGCCGCAGUAA
rnacentral:rRNA from 1 species